rnacentral:rRNA from 1 species
UGGAAGUAAAAGUCGUAACAAGGUCUCCGUUGGUGAACCAGCGGAGGGAUCAUUACUGAGUUUACGCUCUACAACCCUUUGUGAACAUACCUAUAACUGUUGCUUCGGCGGGUAGGGUCUCCGUGACCCUCCCGGCCUCCCGCCCCCGGGCGGGUCGGCGCCCGCCGGAGGAUAACCAAACUCUGAUUUAACGACGUUUCUUCUGAGUGGUACAAGCAAAUAAUCAAAACUUUUAACAACGGAUCUCUUGGUUCUGGCAUCGAUGAAGAACGCAGCGAAAUGCGAUAAGUAAUGUGAAUUGCAGAAUUCAGUGAAUCAUCGAAUCUUUGAACGCACACAUUGCGCCCGCCAGCAUUCUGGCGGGCAUGCCUGUUCGAGCGUCAUUUCAACCCUCAAGCUCUGCUUGGUGUUGGGGCCCUACAGCUGAUGUAGGCCCUCAAAGGUAGUGGCGGACCCUCCCGGAGCCUCCUUUGCGUAGUAACUUUACGUCUCGCACUGGGAUCCGGAGGGACUCUUGCCGUAAAACCCCCAAUUUUCCAAAGGUGACCUC